rnacentral:rRNA from 1 species
UACAGAGGUCCCAAGCGUUGUUCGGAUUCACUGGGCGUAAAGGGUGCGUAGGUGGUUGGGUAAGUCUGAUGUGAAAUCUCCGGGCUCAACCCGGAAAUGGCAUUGGAUACUAUUCGGCUAGAGGUAUGCAGGGGAGAACGGAAUUCCUGGUGUAGCGGUGAAAUGCGUAGAUAUCAGGAGGAACACCGUGGCGGUGAGUGAU